UCAGACUUGUCUUCUUAUUCAGAAAAGAUAUUUAAGAAGUGGAUAUUAUCAUUUGAUUCAGUUGGCUUCCAUGAGUUAUUCGGUAAACAAGUGAGUGAUACCAUUUUUUCAAAUUCUUCUUUACAAAAGAAAUAAAAAUGGAAAAUAAUCUUCCAAAUAAUUAUGUAAAUAAUUAUGACCCAGAAUCUCUAAUUGUUGAUGAACCCUCAGCUUCAACAAAUUUUGAAGACCCUUCAGGCAGUGAAAACAAUGAAGUUGGUCCAGAUGAAAUUUUAUUACAAUUAAAUCAACGAGGUGCAUGUGAAUUGCCUCCACUUAUUAAAAUAGAUUCUCUAAUUCAGAAGAAAGAAUAUAAAAUAAGAAAUCUCAUAAGAUUGAAAACAAAAACAGGAUGGGGCAUUAUAUGCGAAAUUAAUGAGGGUAACUUCUUUGUUCCUCAAAGAAUUGUAUCAACUUUAAAUAACAGAGCCAUAAAAUAUCUGUUAAGUGGAAAAGGUUCCGUAAUAAUUUACUUAGGGAAAAAAAAUACGGGACAGGAGAACUGGGCUAAUAUUGUCGAGUUUAAAAAGAUCACAUAAUUAUGUCUGCUUCCCCGUUAACAACAUUAUCAUCAUCAUCAUCACCACCACCUCCAUCACCAUCAACAUCAGCUUCUUCUUCUUCGACGUCGACUUUCGCAUUAUCAUCUAUAAACUUAGAGAAAUUUAUUGAAAUUUUACGAUGUCCAAAAAAAUAUAAAUUUUUUUUACAAAACGCUAUUUCCGAUUAUGAUUAUGAAACCUUUAAAAAUUUUAUUAGAAACAAGGAAAAAAUUUUAGAAAAUAAUCAACAACAAGCAAUAAGUUUAGGAGAGAAAAAAAAAUAUGAAUACUACAUUUCAAGAAUAAAAACUUUAUUCACGCAUUUUCAAGAAAAAAUAUCCUCUUCAACAAAAUAUGGAAAAGGUUUACAACAAGAUAUACGUCAGAAAAUUUCCUUUGUUAAAAUUUCAUCAGCUUUUAAUAAUCGGCUACGAACUUAUUUAAUCAGCAAUAAUUAUUACAUAGAACCGAAAUAUUUUUUUGAACAUUGCAAGGAAAUUCUAAUUAUCAAAUUUGAAAAAAAUUUACGAAAAUUAGGAGCUUUUAAGAUUAACAUUAUAUUAAAUUGUAUUUAUCAAUUUAAAGUAACUAAAGAACAUGCCUUUCGAAGUUUUAACCCUCAGAAUCAAUCAGUCUUUCACUCUGAAGAAAUUCCUUCAAUUUUAGAAAAUUUAUUUGAUGCUCUAUUAAAUCAGAUGGAUGAUUUCACUGAAAAUAAGUCUGGUGAAACAUUAGAAAGUAUUGAAAAUUUGAAGAUUUCCAUAAACAAAUUAUCGAUAUUUAAUAUAUCGCAAAAUGAAGAAGAAGAUACCACCUCCCAUUCUAGUGACUCUGGGGGAACAUACAUUCCUCUUCCUAUUGAGCUGAAACGAAAAGGUUCUUGUUUUAUUAAUAUUUUUAAUAAGGAUAAUUAUUGUUUUGUUUAUUCUAUUUUGGCUGCACUUUUUCCUGUUAAUCACUCUAAAUAUGAGAGAGUUGAAUCUUAUCCUAGUAAUGUUCAUGAAAUUUUAAACUUAAAAAAUAUUGAAAUGCCUGUUAAAAUAAAAGAUAUUUCCAAAUUUGAAAAACAGAAUCCUACUAUUUCUAUUAAUGUAUUUAAAUUCAACGAAAAAACCCGACAAAUUGACGGUUCUAUUUAUCAUACAAAAAAUGUAAAAGAAAAACAUAUAAAUUUAUUAUAUUUAACUAAAAAUAAUAUUAACACUAAUGGUCAUUAUUGCUUAAUUACUAAUCUUGCAAAAGCAUGUGGAAGCAGCAUAAGUAAAAAUGAGCAUCAAAUAUUUUUUUGUGAUCGUUGUUUACAACAUAUUCCUUCGAAAUCAAAAGAUAAAAUUGAUAGACAUAAACGAGAUUGUUCAACAUUUCCUGCAGUUAAAACAAGCUUACCUGAACCGAAUUCUCCAGGAAGUCUUUUACAUUUUUCACAGUUUAAAUCAUUGCUACGUUUACCAUUUGUUAUAUAUGCAGACUUAUGUUCUUUUGAUAGUAAAUUAGAUAGUUUUAAGACUUAUAGAGGAGUGGUUUAUUUCAGAAUUAAAAGAAAGUUGCAAAUUUGUAAAUAAAAUAUUGUUAAAACAAAAGAAAAUACUAAAUAAACCUUUAUCAGAAUUAGAAAAAGAGUUACAUGAAACAACUAAUAAUUGUAAUUUAUGUGGUUGCAACUUUACAGAUAAUAAUACAAAAGUUAUACAUCAUAACCAUUUAACUGGUGAAUUUAUUUCUACAAUAUGCAAUAAUUGUAAUUUACAAAUUCAAAUUUCAAAUAAGUUGCCAGUUUUUUUACAUAAUUUGUCUGGAUAUGACGCUCACCUUUUUAUUACAGAAUUUAUUAAUAAUUUUUCAGAUAUUGAAAUAAUACCAUUGAAUCAUGAAAAUUAUAUUUCAUUUUCAGGAAUACAUUGUAACAUGAAAAUUACGUUUUUAGAUUCUUUUCGCUUUCUACCUACAUCAUUUGAUAAACUUAAAAAUUACUGCUAUUGCUAGACGACCUUAGUAGAUAGAGAUAGCCGGUUCAAAAACCACCUCCACCUCCCUCUACUGCGCAUGUGUGAAAAUUGUGUCAGUCAGCCGCAGACGCAAGCGCGUAAUCGCAGCUCGCUGGCCUGCGACCAGCUGGUCAGCCGGCCUGCGGCCGACUGACGCCAUUUGUGAUGAUGCAAAUAUAUUUAUGUAGUAUAAUAAUAAUAAUAAUAAUAAUAAUCGUCGCCAUCUUGGAAGUUUGAAAGUCGGCGGCGGUCAUUUUUGUUUAAUGGUAAAUUGGCGCCAAAUUUAAAUUAUUUCAAAAUUAAUAUUUGAAAUUAGUCGGCCAUGUUUGUUUGUUAAAAAAAAUGGCGCCAAAAUUUUAAUUUAUUUAAAAAUUAAUAUUGGGUGUAAUGUUGGUAGCGCCGAUGUCGUCACAAAUUCCGCCUAAAUUCUCACGUUAGAUGGCGCCACGGUCUGCAAACUUUUCGCUAGAUGGCGCUGCCGUCAGCGCAGCCGUCAAUCAAAGAUGGCGCUGGCCUCCAUUUUUUUUUUUUAAACACACCCCCCGCCCGUUUGCGAAUAUGCAACCAAGAAAACAAGUAGUAGUAGUAGUAGUAGCUUUUUGGGGUUGUGAAAUUUUUGGUUUUUGGGGUUGUGAAAUUUUGAAUAUAUGAUUUUUGAAAUGUGCAAUUGUGAAUACAUGAAGUAUAUAUACAAUACAUGCUGUAUUGAGUUAAGCAAAAUAUUAGAAAAUCAUCGCGCUUGUCACUAAUAACUAAUAAAGGAAAGUCAUUAUUUUAUCGAUAAGGAAAAAAAACCUAGUAUAUGUAGUUUUUUAUUUUUGUAAUGUUGUUUGCCUAACUUGUCUGUUGCGCACCAAGUUUAUUUUGUUAUUUGUUUAAAAUAUAAUGCAAAAAAAGUUGUUGUUGUUGUUGUUCCUUCCAUGGGGAGUCGAACCUCAGGUAGGUAGAGUGGAUAGUGCUGUCUAUUUUGGAAACC